GACGAACGCUGGCGGCGUGCUUAACACAUGCAAGUCGAACGGAAAGGCCCUGCUUUUGUGGGGUGCUCGAGUGGCGAACGGGUGAGUAACACGUGAGUAACCUGCCCUUGACUUUGGGAUAACUUCAGGAAACUGGGGCUAAUACCGGAUAGGAGCUCCUGCUGCAUGGUGGGGGUUGGAAAGUUUCGGCGGUUGGGGAUGGACUCGCGGCUUGUCAGCUUGUUGGUGGGGUAGUGGCUUACCAAGGCUUUGACGGGUAGCCGGCCUGAGGGGGUGACCGGGCAAGAUAGGGAGAGGACAGCGACAGGACUAGGAGGGGAAGAAGGGAGGGGAAAAAUAAAAAAAAGGGGGGAGGCACGAUCCAAGAAGCCGGGGAGGGGGAGAAGGGCCUGCGGGUUGGAAACGACUUUGCCCUGAAAGAAAGGGGGGGGGACGGAAAGGGUAAAAAAAGCAACGAAUAACUAUUA
rnacentral:rRNA from 1 species